GCAAGUCGAACGAGAACGGAAUAUAGCUUGCUAUAUUUGUCAGCUAAGUGGCGCACGGGUGAGUAAUAUAUAGUUAAUCUGCCUCUAAGAAGGGAAUAAUUGAUGGAAACGUCUUGUAAUGCCCUAUAUGCCUUUAUGACAUAAGUCAGCAAGGGAAACGCUUUUGUGCUUAGAGAUGAGACUGUACAGUAUCAGCUUGUUGGUGAGGUAAUGGCUCACCAAGGCUAUGACACUUAACUGGUUUGAGAGGAUGAUC
rnacentral:rRNA from 1 species